CAACAGGGAUUGCCUCAGUAACGGCGAGUGAAGCGGCAACAGCUCAAAUUUGAAAUCUGGCGCCCCCCGGCGUCCGAGUUGUAAUUUGUAGAGGAUGCUAUUGGGUUGCCACCGGUCUAAGUUCCUUGGAACAGGACGUCACAGAGGGUGAGAAUCCCGUACGUGACCGGCCAGGCGCUCUCUGUAUAGCUCCUUCGACGAGUCGGGUUGUUUGGGAAUGCAGCCCUAAAUGGGAGGUAAAUUUCUUCUAAAGCUAAAUACCGGCCAGAGACCGAUAGCGCACAAGUAGAGUGAUCGAAAGAUGAAAAGCACUUUGGAAAGAGAGUUAAAAAGCACGUGAAAUUGUUGAAAGGGAAGCGCUUGCCAUCAGUCUCGACGGCGGCUGUUCGGCCUCUCUUCUGAGUGGUUUAUUCAGUCGCCGCCGGGCCAGCAUCAGUUUCGGCGGCCGGACAAAGGCGCGGGGAAUGUAGCUCCCUCGGGAGUGUUAUAGCCCCGCGUGCAAUACGGCCCGCCGGGACUGAGGUCCGCGCUUCGGCUAGGAUGCUGGCGAAAUGGUGGUAAGCGGCCCGUCUUGAAACACGGACCAAGGAGUCUAACAUCUACGCGAGUGUUUGGGUGUCAAACCCGUGCGCGCAAUGAAAGUGAACGGAGGUGGGAACCGCAAGGUGCACCAUCGACCGAUCCUGAUGUCUUCGGAUGGAUUUGAGUAAGAGCGUAGCUGUUGGGACCCGAAAGAUGGUGAACUAUGCCUGAAUAGGGUGAAGCCAGAGGAAACUCUGGUGGAGGCUCGCAGCGGUUCUGACGUGCAAAUCGAUCGUCAAAUUUGGGUAUA
rnacentral:rRNA from 1 species